AUCAGAAGCCCUCAGAACAGGUACAAUUCUCCAUGCUUGGAGUCACCUGAAGGUCCCUGGAGUGAAGCUUACAGAAGUGUUUAGGGAAAGGGUUAUGGACAAGUCUGGCCCCAUGUUAAUACAAGUUGUGGGACACUCUGGGGUUUAGCUGAAACUCCAGAGCAACUCCAAGGUUUGAGCACAAUGUGGACAACAGGACCAGAUCUGAAGUGGACCAGCUCACUGCCACCA
rnacentral:lncRNA from 11 species